rnacentral:rRNA from 1 species
AACGAACGCUGGCGGCGUGCUUAACACAUGCAAGUCGAACGCGAAAUUUUUCUUCGGAAAGAGAGUAGAGUGGCGCACGGGUGAGUAACGCGUAAGUAAUCUACCCUGGUAUCUGGGAUAACCCACCGAAAGGUGUGCUAAUACCGGAUACGCUGAGUAAUCAGGAAAGGUGGCCUCUUCAUGAAAGCUACUGUACCAGGAGGAGCUUGCGUACCAUUAGCUAGUUGGUAGGGUAAUGGCCUACCAAGGCAACGAUGGUUAGCGGGUCUGAGAGGAUGAUCCGCCACACUGGAACUGGAACACGGACCAGACUCCUACGGGAGGCAGCAGUGAGGAAUAUUGCGCAAUGGGGGAAACCCUGACGCAGCGACGCCGCGUGGAUGAUGAAGGCC